UGGGCGUAAAGCGUCUGUAGACGUUCUAUUAAGUCAAUGGUAAAAUACUGAUGCUCAACAUCAGUUCUGCCAUCGAUACUGAUAGAAUAGAGGUUGGAAGAGGUAAGCGGAAUUGCCGGUGUAGUAGUUAAAUGCGUUAAUAUCGGCAGGAACACCAAAUGCGAAAGCAGCUUACUGGUACACACCUGACGUUGAGAGACGAAAGCGUGGGUAGCGAAUGGGAUUAGAUACCCCAGUAGUCCACGCCGUAAACGAUGGAUGCUAGACAUUGGUAGUAUCGACCCUAUCAGUGUCGCUGAACCAAGCUAACGCGUUAAGCAUCCCGCCUGGGGAGUACGGCCGCAAGGCUAAAACUCAAAGGAAUUGACGGGAACCCGCACAAGCGGUGGAGCAUGUGGUUUAAUUCGACAGUAAGCGAGGAACCUUACCAGGGCUUGACAUCCUCGGAACCCUGUAGAAAUACGGGGGUGCCUUCGGGAACCGAGUGACAGGUGCUGCAUGGUUGUCGUCAGCUCGUGUCGUGAGAUGUACGGUUAAGUCCGGAAACGAGCGCAACCCUUAUUCUGUGUUGCAAUUUCACAGAAGACUGCCAUCUUUAAGAUGGAGGAAGGUGGGGAUGACGUCAAAUCAGCAUGGCUCUUACGCCCUGGGCGACACACGUGCUACAAUGGCCAGUACAGAGGGUUGCCAAACCGAAAGGUGGAGCUAAUCUUGCAAAUCUGGUCCAAGUUCGGAUUGAGGUCUGCAAUUCGACCUCAUGAAGUCGGAA
rnacentral:rRNA from 1 species